rnacentral:rRNA from 1 species
UCGAGCGGACAGAUGGGAGCUUGCUCCCUGAUGUUAGCGGCGGACGGGUGAGUAACACGUGGGUAACCUGCCUGUAAGACUGGGAUAACUCCGGGAAACCGGGGCUAAUACCGGAUGGUUGUUUGAACCGCAUGGUUCAGACAUAAAAGGUGGCUUCGGCUACCACUUACAGAUGGACCCGCGGCGCAUUAGCUAGUUGGUGAGGUAACGGCUCACCAAGGCGACGAUGCGUAGCCGACCUGAGAGGGUGAUCGGCCACACUGGGACUGAGACACGGCCCAGACUCCUACGGGAGGCAGCAGUAGGGAAUCUUCCGCAAUGGACGAAAGUCUGACGGAGCAACGCCGCGUGAGUGAUGAAGGUUUUCGGAUCGUAAAGCUCUGUUGUUAGGGAAGAACAAGUGCCGUUCAAAUAGGGCGGCACCUUGACGGUACCUAACCAGAAAGCCACGGCUAACUACGUGCCAGCAGCCGCGGUAAUACGUAGGUGGCAAGCGUUGUCCGGAAUUAUUGGGCGUAAAGGGCUCGCAGGCGGUUUCUUAAGUCUGAUGUGAAAGCCCCCGGCUCAACCGGGGAGGGUCAUUGGAAACUGGGGAACUUGAGUGCAGAAGAGGAGAGUGGAAUUCCACGUGUAGCGGUGAAAUGCGUAGAGAUGUGGAGGAACACCAGUGGCGAAGGCGACUCUCUGGUCUGUAACUGACGCUGAGGAGCGAAAGCGUGG